CCACCCGACUCCUUCAAAAAGAAAAAAAAAAAAAACACCCGACAAAAAAAAAAAAGAAUUUUAAAAGCCCGAAAACCCUAAUUACAACAUAUUCUCACCCACUCUCUCUCUCUCUUUCUCCCAUAUACCAGCCGCAUAUCCCCCCUCCCUUCUCUUCUCACCAUUGCCCUCUCUUUUCUCGUCUCUCUGCCUAUUCUUCUCCUUCUAUGUGCACGGAGGUGCUUCUCCUCGGUGCACAACAGAGGCACUCGGCCUCUUCUCCUCGGCGCACAGGUAGCUUCGACGGCGUCCAACAGAAGCGCUCGGCACACAAACACACCCAGUUUCUCCUCUGUCACAAAUGAUCUUAUGCUAGGCAGAGUUUUCGUUCGUAGGUCUCGAUGGAGACGGGGGUGCUCGAUAAAGAUGUCGUCUGUGGGGUUCAACAGUGGGGUGGUGGCCAUGGGGUUCAAAGGUGAGGCUGGUGGUUGUGGGAUUCUUGUUUAAAAUUAAUUCAUUUGACUUUGUUUUUCUGUUUUAGGUUACUUAAUUUUUAUGUUCACAAAUGCAACUUUUGGAUAUAUUUGUAUUUUAUAUCAUGUGAGUAUAUGUAUAUAUAUAUAUAUAAAUACAUGUAUAUCUGGUCAAGAAAGUAUGUGUGUAUAUAUAUAUAUAUAAAUAUAUGUAUUUAUUCAUAAGGUUCAGGACCACUGCUCUUGGAGUAAUUUUACAGAAUAUUGAAACCGUUAUAAAUGUUU